CCAGAAGGUGGCAGCAGUUCACCAGCGGCAGAAAGACCUAAAGAAGAAGACACCUCUGCUCUUCCUCCUGUUGGUGCUAAAGUGACCUCUGCUGUUAAUCGUAAGCCUGCCGUGAAACUAUGGUUCCUCCGGUUGCAGUGUCACCUCUGAUUAAGACAGCCAGGUACUCAGCUUUGAUUGCUGGGAUCAUAUAUGGCAAAAGGAGAUAUGAUCACCUGAAGCCUAUUGCAGCGGAAGAGAGGAGGAUUGAGGAGGAGGAGAAGAAGGUCCGUGAAGAGCAGGAGCGCAUCGCCAAGCAGCUAGCAGAAGCAAAUGAAGACAGCAUUCUGAAGUAAAGCGUUGGAGUGCUGUUCCAGGAUGUCCACGUCCAUGUGCAAUUUCCAACCUCUUCCACUCUUUCUGGAGUAGCUAUGGCAAAAUGGGGUCACUGCCACUCAAAAACACUCCUAUUUUGUGGACAUGUUCACCGUUACCUUUGAUAAUACAGCAGCCCUUUGGUUUUCCAGAUAUUGUGAUUUAAUGUUAGUCAUGGAUUAUUGAGUAAAGCUUUUGAACUCUUAAUGCCAUAUAUGCACUGUGGUCUUUGUUCUCCUUCAGUCAACUGAAUUCCCGAUUGCUUCUGCAUUAACACUUUUUCAUAUUAAAUGUAGAAAUAUAUCAUUAUUUACAGUUACCUUUUUUUUGUUUUACUGCCAACAACUUUUUGGAUCACUGGUUUCCAUUUACAACAUCGACUUAAAAUUUGCACAGUUGUCUGGGAACCAUUUAUGAAGGGGUGCUGGUUAGUUUAGUAAACCUCUCAUUUCUUCUUCAGAAAUGCUGAUGAAACACGGAGUGCAUUGAUUAAUUUUUUUCCUCCACUUUCGUGCACCUCCGUAAUGCUGCUCUGUGUAAGUUGAUGAUGAAAGCACUGUUCCCUCCAACCUCACUCCAAGAGCACAGGUUGUCAAUACCCAAUUUAUACAAAUCCUGUUCAAUCCAAGGAGCUUUUGAGGUAUUAUGUCCACUUUCUCCAGCCUUCACUUUAAGCUUUUCAAUAAAGACAUAAGAAGUAUAA